ACAAAGGCUCUUUUCAGAGCCACCUCCUUGGCCCUGAAAGACCUGU
rfam:Ailuropoda melanoleuca scaffold1884_1, whole genome shotgun sequence.